rnacentral:rRNA from 1 species
GAUGAACGCUGGCGGCGUGCCUAAUACAUGCAAGUCGAGCGAACGGACGAGAAGCUUGCUUCUCUGAUGUUAGCGGCGGACGGGUGAGUAACACGUGGAUAACCUACCUAUAAGACUGGGAUAACUUCGGGAAACCGGAGCUAAUACCGGAUAAUAUUAUGAACCGCAUGGUUCAAAAGUGAAAGACGGUCUUGCUGACACUUAUAGAUGUAUCCGCGCUGCAUUAGCUAGUUGGUAAGGUAACGGCUUACCAAGGCAACGAUGCAUAGCCGACCUGAGAGGGUGAUCGGCCACACUGGAACUGAGACACGGUCCAGACUCCUACGGGAGGCAGCAGUAGGAAAUCUUCCGCAAUGGGCGAAAGCCUGACGGAGCAACGCCGCGUGAGUGAUGAAGGUCUUCGGAUCGUAAAACUCUGUUAUUAGGGAAGAACAUAUGUGUAAGUACUGUGCACAUCUUGACGGUACCUAAUCAGAAAGCCACGGCUAACUACGUG